rnacentral:rRNA from 1 species
UACGUAGGGUGCGAGCGUUGUCCGGAAUUAUUGGGCGUAAAGAGCUCGUAGGCGGUGUGUCGCGUCGGCCGUGAAAACCUGGGGCUCAACUCUGGGCGUGCGGUCGAUACGGGCAUCACUGGAGUUCGGCAGGGGAGACUGGAAUUCCUGGUGUAGCGGUGAAAUGCGCAGAUAUCAGGAGGAACACCGGUGGCGAAGGCGGGUCUCUGGGCCGAUGACUGACGUGAGGAGCGAAAGCAUGGGUAGCGAACAGG